CGUCGACCUAUUUGCGUCGGCAAGGAAUGCUAUCGCAAAAAGCUACUUAAUUGCGUCGGCAUUGCAUCCCGUCUCAAAUGUUACCGGUUUGCGUCCGCCACAUCGCCGUCGCAAAAACUUAGCGGCAAAUAGAUUUUUUUUGCAUCUGCAAAGUACUCUCCGACGUAAAUAAUAACCUUUUAAGCCCAAAAAUGAGUACGACUGAAAUAAAAUUGGCGGGGGACGAAAAGAAGUUCUAAUUUUUGGAGGGUUAAAUCUUUGAUUUUGCCCAAAAGCCCCAAGCCCCAAAUCUCUCUCAUCGAUCGUCUCCUCUCUCUUUCAUCGUCUCUCCAUCAUUGUCUCCUAUGCCCUUUUCUUUUGCCCUAACUUUUUCAGCUGCUAAUCGAAGACAACGAGAGCACCACAACACCGACCACGGCAACAAGAAUCUCUCUCAUUGUUUCUUAUGCCUUUUUCUUUUGCCCUAACUUUUUCAUCUGCUAAUCGAAGACAAGGAGAGCACCACAACGACAACCACGGCCACAGGGAUUUCCGACGAGACUACCAUAGGGGUUUCCGACGACCGCACCACGCCUUCACUACCACGUGAUUCUGGUAUGCUCAAAGCGGACCUUUAUUCCACUCAUUAAUUUCCUAUCUCUCACCAGUUGUAUGGUUGUGUAUCUUUUGAAUCCUUAUUGCUAUUUAUCACAUGUAUGCUACUGUUAUUGGGAACCCAAUCGGUUGGGAGUGAUUUCAAUAGGACCAAGAGGAGCCCCCAAAAGAACCAAAAGGGAUCCCCAUAUAUAUAUACACAUAUAUUUAUAUAAGAGUUCUGUAAGAAUUCUUCCCCACUGAGGAGUAUUAAACUUUUGUUAUUGAGAAGAGCCCACUUAGAAACAAAAAAAGGCAAAAUGUCAAAAGAAGCAAAAAAAAAAAAAAAAAACCCAUAGGUUUCUCAUCGAAAGAAACAAAAUAUAGAGCUAGGCUUAGAGUUUCUGUUCCUUAUAGAGACAAAAACCUAGGGUGAAGUCUCUAGUCUCAAACAAGAGGGGAACUUUAGUACUAUUAUGUUUGUGCACGUUCCUAAAUGAGUAUAUGGUUUCUUGGUUUAUUUGUAAUUUAAAGAGUUUUGUAAUACUGAUUCAUUGAUCUCUUUGACUUCUAAAUCUGAAAAUUGGUAAUUUUAUAAUGUGGUGUUUUAACAACUUGUUUAUCUAUUCCUGUGUAUAUUGUUAGGGGGACUAGUGGAACUCAAGUGCGUUUGUGGGAUUUGUUUAAUAUUGUGUUCGGUAUUUGGCUCUUUCUUUUCUUUCAACUCUAACUUGUUUCGUAUAUAAGUUGCACUAUCUCUCUUUAUUUUUCUUUCCUCAAUUAAGCGACUAAGAGCAUACUUGAAUAUUUUGGAGUAGGUAGUAUGCAUUGGUGUGUCUAUAUAUGCAUAAUGUACAUGUUUGUCUACAAAAAAUAUUGAGGGAGGUAGAAACAUGGACAAGAGUUGAAUUAAUUUACCGAAGAUGUCAAGGGACUACUUGAAUGGGAUUGACAGAUUUCUUGAGUUUUCAUACACCUCUAAGCUUGAUAGUUUGUUCAUCAGUUGUCCUUGUAGAAAAAGUGAGAAUCGCUAUAGUUUGCAUACACCGCUAAGAGAACAUAGGGCACUAGGAUGAAGAUAUUGGUUGGGUGACGGAAGGAGAAGAAGGUGACAUGAUUGUUGUUCAGGCUUUGUCCGUUAUUUGCCUCUCCUUUACCAUGUUCUCCAUGACUGGAUGGAAAGGUGUUAUAUUCAGUUUCAUUUCUGAAAAAUUAGUUUCAAUGAUGUUCUUGUAUGCGGGACUGAAAUGAAAGCUUUGCAUUGAUUAUUUAAUGAUUAAAAUGCACCACUCUCCGCAGCAAUUAAUUAUUGGUCUUAGCCAACUUGUGUAUCAUUAGUGCUUGUGAUUUUUGGAGAACAACUUAUAUAGAAAUUCACUUGGUUGUGCUUAUUUGUUUGAUAAGUUAAUUGAGUUGAGCUGGGCAAAAUGAAUAAAAAGAGGCAAGAAUACUGCAAGGUUAGAUACUUGCUGGACUGUGCUCACCAUGGGCCACAAGAGUGUUAGAUAGGUUUGCAGGACCAGUACCCAUUUUGUGUAGCAGUACUUGAUUAUGUCUGGAGGUAUUUCAGCUUAGACUUUAGAGUUACAUAGAGGACCACCCUCAGGACCAAAAUGUUAUGAUUGUCAUGAAUAUGGUCAUCUUGGUUAGGAUUGUGCCAAUAAAAAGAUAAAACAAAAAGUGUCAAAUGUGGAGACAUGGAAUGGUGAUUCAAAUAGUGACAAGUCGAGAAGUGAUAAAGAUGAUGAUUAUGAAGGGAAAAAUUAUUUAGCUUUCGUUGCCAAUCAUCAGACCGAUGAGGAGAGUGAUGUUGAAGAAGAAACAGGUGAUUUUAAAGAAUUGAAAGAAGCUUAUGAUAAUCUUUAUCAGGAAAGCUUGAAACUCAAAAAGCAAAACUUGAAAUUGGAAAGUAAGAUCGAAGCAGCUAGCAUCGACUUGACUAAAGCGCUAUAUGUAGGCAGGGAGUUAUCAGAAUCUCUCGAAUGCAUGACUCAAGAGAGAGGUAAAUUGCAAGAGGAAGUGGAACAACUCUGCGAGAAAGUCAAAGAGCUUGAAUUUGAUAAAAUACAUGAUUUGAUGGUUGAAUUAGAUAAUGCUAAUUGUGUUUUUGAGCGUUUCAAUGCAGGGUCUAAGCUUCUCGAUCACAUCCAGGACGUUCAAAGGCCAAUUGGAGAUAGGUCAGGACUUGGUUACCAUGCUUCCUCAUCCAAUAUGACUGUUGAGAAUAAUACAAGCUAGGAAAACAAAGACAAGCAAAAGGAGAUAAAGCAUGUAAAGCCAAAAGUGAUUGUAAGCAUUAUCAAGCCUCAAAAUAUUGGACUGUUGGCAUUUCCCUAGCCUAACCUUGAUCUAUGGUGGAGAAAGAGCUAAGAAAAAUGGGAGAAGCGGACUGCUCAAAUGCAGUCAAUACUACCGAGAAAAUAGAGCAAGAGAGAUGCUGCUCUCUGGAAAGUAGGGGAACAAGAAACGUGAAAUGGGGCAGCUCUACCUUUUUCAUUCCCUUGCUCCUUUAAAUACUAUGGCAAAGCCCUUUACAUAGGGAGGAGGUAAAAGACUAAAUAAGACACCACACUUUAAACUAUUACAAAACUAACAUAAGCACUAGAACAUUGCAAUAAAAUACUAAAGGCAUUAAUUUUAACAAGGACGUUGUCUUGUAGUUUUGCUGGCACCUUGUUCAACCUAGUCAGAUUUCGUCGAUGGAAGAUCAUAAUCAUGUUGACGAAAUACUUUUGUUGGCGCCUUGUUCAACCUAGUCAGCUUUGCUGAGUACCUAACUUUCUCUUGACGAAAUACUCUCUAAAGUGCAUGGUGAGAUAUAUAAAUGACUCUUAGUUAAUCCAUUCAUUCAAAAUGCAUGAAGAGGGAGGAAGCUAAAAUCACUGCAUGGGAGAACCUUCCGAAGGCAAAAGCUGAGGCAGCGAUAAGGAAACAAGAGGUUUGUUAAAAUCUUUCCCGAUAGCAUGUGUUAUGCAGUUCUAGAUUCUGUGGAGAAGUGUGAUAUUAUUUUUCCAUCAUAUGCGCUUAACAUUCCAAAUGACUUUUGAGAUCUGUCAAGCAGGAAUCAAUUGAGCAUUGCACUAAAUAUGUGCCAUUUUUUUAGUAGACUAUUUUGUAACAAGAUGGUUAUUUAUGGUGGGUGGUCGACUUGGACUUGCGUUUCCUAUGAAUAGUAUUCUAAUGGUCAAUAGUAUUCUGA